UUGUAAGUGCAGGUAGGUCGAGUCAUUAUUCACGGCUCAAUGGUGUUUUGCGAAGCGUAUGCGAUCUUGUUUGAGUGUUGAGCUGCGGUUGAGCUUGCCAAGUCUGCGGUGUCGCCUGCGGAACGCUUCCGCACCACUCUUCGGCUUCGCCAUGUUUGCUUUCUCCCGCUUUUGAUUUAAACGGGUUUGGCACAUUCAUUGCCUUGCGCACGUGGUAGUGCUGUUGCGAUUUGUUCGCUAUCCAGUCUGAGCACUACACGUGAUGCAGUGCUCUUCGUCACUUUUGCAUGUUUUCGUGAGCCUGCUGCCGCCUUUGUUUGUUGUGAGCGUUGUGGCCUUGUUCGCAGAUCGCGGCACGGCGGCGGAAGCGGGGGUUGCAGCGCCAUUGGGGAAGUCGAGGUGGUUCACGUUGCGGCUUCCUCAACUAUGUUUCUCUUCUCAGCCCGUCACCGCAGGAACUCUGGACGUUCUCUCUUUGGUGUGCUCGCAUGCCGCGGACUAUGUGGGACGCAUUUGCAGCCAUGUCUCAUUGUAAGACAGGUUGAUUUGAUUUGAGGACACACCGCUUUCUCCCUGCAUAAUCGCAGCAGGUGAUGACAUCUGGAUGCCUGAAGAGUACCUAUUGCUUGUUGAUGGCCAUGUUGUGGCAGAAGCAAAGAUGUUCAAGCAAGCAUUCUGCAUGCUGUUUGCAGCUUACUUCUGCUUCCACAUUUGUUAUGCAGAGAAGGCGUCAUGCACACUUGAAUUCACACAAAGGGCAUUUUCGGCAUAAACCCAGACCGUGGACGGAAGGGCAAAAAGGAAAUCUGGUGGUCAGCAAGAAAGUUCUUGCGUUGGUGCAGCGCAUUACUGAGUGUGAAUGGAAUGUCUAGGGAUACUUUUUGGUCUGCCAAGCAGCCCAGAACCUUGCAAUGCGAACUACAGAAAUGGUUCCCUUUCACCAAGUCAUCUACACAAGAAAUUGUUUUAAAGCUACGUGAAGUGCAAUAAAGUGU